rnacentral:tRNA from 1 species
GCAUCGUCGUGUAAUGGUCAGCACGCUCGGCCCAUAUUCGAGAGGUCCGUGGUUCGAGUCCCGGCGGGAGCA